UGGGGAAUUUUGGACAAUGGGCGCAAGCCUGAUCCAGCCAUGCCGCGUGUCUGAAGAAGGCCUUCGGGUUGUAAAGGACUUUUGUCAGGGAAGAAAAGGACAGGGUUAAUACCUCUGUUUGAUGACGGUACCUGAAGAAUAAGCACCGGCUAACUACGUGCCAGCAGCCGCGGUAAUACGUAGGGUGCGAGCGUUAAUCGGAAUUACUGGGCGUAAAGCGAGCGCAGACGGUUACUUAAGCAGGAUGUGAAAUCCCCGGGCUCAACCUGGGAACUGCGUUCUGAACUGGGUGACUAGAGUGUGUCAGAGGGAGGUAGAAUUCCACGUGUAGCAGUGAAAUGCGUAGAGAUGUGGAGGAAUACCGAUGGCGAAGGCAGCCUCCUGGGAUAACACUGACGUUCAUGCUCGAAAGCGUGGGUAGCAAACAGGAUUAGAUACUCUGGUAGUCCACGCCCUAAACGAUGUCAAUUAGCUGUUGGGCAACUUGAUUGCUUAGUAGCGUAGCUAACGCGUGAAAUUGACCGCCUGGGGAGUACGGUCGCAAGAUUA
rnacentral:rRNA from 1 species